UUCAGAAAAUUCUUAAAAUGGAUGAAAUAAACAACAAACAGGAAAGCAAUGGACUACUACGGAAGUCUUCCAUGAAAAAUAAUUUCAUUUCUCUUAAUGACCAAAUGAAACUCCGUAUGUCUUCAAAUGAUCCCUGGUUCUCUUUGGAAUUCUUUCCACCAAAAACUACCAAUGGGGCCAGAGAUUUGUUUGACAUAAUGGAAUGUUUUGCUGAAAGUCAGCCACUCUUCUGUGAUAUGACCUGGCAUUUGAAAAAUGAUCCUCAAAAUUUAGAGAAACCAACUAGUUCCCUCUGCAUGGCAGGUACAAUGUUGAAUUAUUUCAAUUUACCAACCAUGUUACAUAUUACAAGCUACAGCCAGUCUGUCUCAGAGAUCAAGGACAUUUUGUUAAAAGCAAAAGAUCAAGGAAUACGAAAUAUUUUAGCCUUAAGAGGAGAUAUAUUUCCAGGCCAUGUGGCUAGCACUGUACAUGAACUACCUUAUGCUGUAGACUUGGUCAGAUUGAUACGGAAAGAACAUGGAGAUCAUUUUGUGAUUGUUGUUGCUGGUUACCCCUCAGGUCACCCAGAAUGUGCUUCUUAUGAAGAGGACUUAAAACAUCUGAAAGAGAAGGUCGAUGCUGGUGCUGAUUUUAUUAUAACACAACUAUUUUUUGAAAUGCACACUUUUGAAAAAUAUGUCAAAGAUUGUAGAGAAAUUGGCAUCACCUGUCCAAUACUACCAGGAAUUCUUCCUAUUCAGAGUUACCUGUCUCUUCACCAUGUCAGUAAGCUGACAAAGCUUACAGUGCCUGAAGAAAUUCUUAACAGCAUAACACCAAUUAAAGACAAUGAUGAAGCUGUUCGCAACUUUGGUGUGCAUCAUGCAGUUGAAUUAGGAAAGAAACUUUUGAACAGUGGUUUGACAAAAGGAAUACAUUUUUACACUCUCAACCAAAGGUUUGCCACAACCACAAUUUUAAAACAGCUUGGUCUUCUAAAUGAGGAAAUCAACAAGCCUUUACCAUGGAAGCCUUCUGUAAACUAUGUAAGGCUUAACGAAGAAGUCCGCCCAAUCUUUUGGAAAGGUCGUCGUAAGAGCUACAUUUGUCGAACAGCAGACUGGAAUAAAUUCCCAAAUGGUAGAUGGGGUAAUUCUUCACAUGCUAGUUUUGGAAAUUUGACUGACUACUAUAUGUUUUAUCUAAAUUAUUCUAGUAAUGAGGAGCAAUUAAAAUCAUUAGGAUUUCAGCUAGAGACAGAGCAGGAUGUGUGGAAUGUAUUUUACUAUUUCAUCAAAGGACAUGAAAACCAAAAUGGAGUAAAGGUAACACACAUACCUUGGAGUGAUGAUGUCUUGUCUACUGAAACUUCUUUAAUAUCAGACCAGUUGGCAUAUCUGAACAAAAAUGGUGUUUUGACCAUAAAUUCUCAGCCAGCUAUAAAUGGGUUUAGUUCAACCCAUCCAAUAUUUGGUUGGGGAAACCCCGAUGGAUAUGUCUAUCAAAAGAAAUUGCUUCGGUCUUCAGUAACUGCUAAACCUUUACAAAAUGUUGAAACCAACAAUAGUGGAUUUGCUCCCACAUUUUCGACUGUGAUGCUGCUCUACGCAUGCAGGGAUCCUAAACCACAUCUCUAAAAGGGCUGUCUGACUGAUGUAGUCGCUUAUAAUGGCAUUCAGAUCACCGGCGUACAGGCCUAUCUUGAGUUUUUCACUUCAAAAGAAAAUGUCGAAGUUUUGAAGAA
rnacentral:misc_RNA from 1 species